rnacentral:rRNA from 1 species
CUACCCAUGAGCAGGAUGAAGCGAAAGUAAAAUUUCGUGGAGGUCCGAACCCACGAGCGUUGAAAAGCUCGGGGAUGACUUGUGGGUAGCGGUGAAAUUCCAAUCGAGCCCGGAGAUAGCUGGUUCUCCCCGAAAUAGCUUUAGGGCUAGCCUCAAGGUGAGAGAUACGGAGGUAGAGCACUGAAUGUCCUAGGGGGUAUUGCACCUACCGAAGACUAUCAAACUCCGAAUGCCGUCAUCUUAUACUUGGGAGUCAGACUGUGGGUGAUAAGAUUCAUAGUCGAAAGGGCAACAGCCCAGAUCGUCAGCUAAGGUCCCUAAAUGUAAGUUAAGUGGUAAAGGAUGUGGGAUUGCACAGACAACCAGGAUGUUGGCUUAGAAGCAGCCACUCAUUCAAAGAGUGCGUAAUAGCUCACUGGUCGAGUGAUCCUGCGCCGAAGAUUUCCGGGGCUAAAACUUACUACCGAAGCUACGGCAUCAGUAAUGAUGGGUAGGGGAGCUUCCCAUACGGGUUGAAGCAUGACCGUAAGGACAUGUGGACAGUAUGGGAGUGAGAAUGUUGGCAUGAGUAGCGAGAUGUGGGUGAGAAUCCCACAGGCCGUAAACCCAAGGUUUCCAGGGGAAGGUUCGUCCGCCCUGGGUUAGUCGGGACCUAAGCUGAGGCCGAAAGGCGUAGGUGAUGGACAACAGGUUGA